rnacentral:rRNA from 1 species
UACGUAGGGUCCGAGCGUUGUCCGGAAUUAUUGGGCGUAAAGGGCUCGUAGGCGGUUCGUCACGUCGGGAGUGAAAACUCGGAGCUUAACUCCGAGCCUGCUUCCGAUACGGGCAGACUAGAGGUAGGCAGGGGAGAGCGGAACUCCUGAUGUAGCGGUGGAAUGCGCAGAUAUCAGGAAGAACACCAAUGGCGAAAGCAGCUCUCUGGGACGGUACUGACGCUGAGACGCGAAAGCGUGGGGAGCGAACAGG